rnacentral:rRNA from 1 species
GAUGAACGCUGGCGGCGUGCCUAAUACAUGCAAGUCGAGCGGUAACACUUCGGGUGACGAGCGGCGGACGGCUGAGUAACACAUAGGAACGUACCCCAAACUGAGGGAUAAGCACCGGAAACGGUGUCUCAUACCGCAUGUGGUCUUCGGAUUAAAGCUUCGGCGGUUUGGGACCGGACUGCGCAUGAUUAGCUUGUUGGUGAGGGAAAAGCUCACCAAGGCGACGAUCAUUAGCUGGUCUGAGAGGAUGAUCAGCCAGACUGGGACUGGGACACGGCCCAGACUCCUACGGGAGGCAGCAGUAGGGAAUUUUCCACAAUGGGCGAAAGCCUGAUGGAGCAACGCCGCGUGCAGGAUGAAUGCCUUCGGGUUGUAAACUGCUUUUAUUGGUGACGAUUAUGACGGUAGCCAAUGAAUAAGGAUCGGCUAACUCCGUGCCAGCAGCCGCGGUAA